UUAAAUGAAAGGUACACAGUUUUCCCUACAACAACUACAAAAAAAAAAAAAAAAUAAAAAAAAUGUCCGGAAUGUAAAAAACGAAAAGAGGACUCUAUAUAUGAGACCAGCCAUCGUGUGUGUGUGUGUGUGUGUGGGAAUUCCAACUAUGAUUAAUGGAAGGACGAAGAACUUCGAUGCCAUCGUGAUAUGAGACACAUUUGAGAAUAACAAAUGUAAUUUCUCUGCGUCAAGUUUCGGAUUGGAAUCUUGGUUGAGGGACUGGACUGCCAAAAAAAA